UGGCUAAUUGAACAGCUUGGUCAAGU
rnacentral:sRNA from 1 species